GACAUACAGCAGCUGUAGGAGGCAGAAAGGAUGUGGCUGUGGAAGGAAACCUUUUGGGUUUCAGCACAGAGUCUGGAAUUCCUGCUUCUGAUCAUCCUAGGCCACAGGCAAGGAGCGUGGCAGAGUCCCCCAGCUAUGGCCCUGGCCUCCCGCCGUCGCCUCCUGAGAACCCACAGGCAAAGGGCAGGGAGGGCGUCAGGUUUCCCCGUGGGGCGGAGCCUGACCAUCUGCUUCCCGCAGUGCCUCCCGCGGAGGUGGACAUGGGGUGGGUAGGUGGCACCCACCAGCGGGGCCCUCCCCAUCUACAGGCACACCUGCCCCCUACUGCUGGUGACACACAGGCAAAGCUCCGGGCCAGUGUCCCCGAGCCUAGGACGCAGGCAGGUGAAUCCCAGGAGCGUCCCCUGACACAGGCGGACCUGGGGAGGCAACAGAGUCACCAGGCACAGGAGGAGACCCCCCAGCCCGGGGAUGCGGGGAAGAGGGUGGCGCCGUCGGGCUCGAAGGUUGUGCUGAACCCAGCAAAAGAGCCUCAGACAUGGUGGGCACAGGAUCUGGCCGGGGACAAAGGGAUGGCCAUUGGGGUUGGGGGCGCCUGCCAGCGCAGUGACCAAGGUCAGCAGCAUCUGCAGGGACCCUGGGAGGAGCGGGGGCGGAGCACGGCGUGGGGAGAGGGCACCAGGGCUGCCAGGAACCCAGCUGUGCCUCCAGGGGAGCCCGAGGGGCCGGGAAGCCCGGCAGCCCAAGGACAGGCCCAGAAACAGGUUCAGGAAUGGGACCGGGGACAGGUUCAGGGACACGCUCAAGAACAGGCCCAGUGGCAGACCCAGAUAGAGGCCCAGGGGCAGGCACAGGAACAGGCUCAGGGUGGGACCCAGGGACACAGUCAGGGACAGGCCCAGAAACAGUUUCAGAAUUGGGCCCAGGGACAGGCUCAGGGACACGCUCAAGAACAGGCCCAGUGGCAGACCCAGAUAGAGGCCCAGGGGCAGGCACAGGAACCAGCUCAGGGUGGGGCCCAGGGACAGGUUCAGGGACAGGCCCAGAAAUGGGCUCAGGGGCAGAUUCAGGGACAGGCCCAGAAACAGGUUCAAGGAGAGGUUCAGAAAUGGGCCCAGGAAGAGGCUCAGGGACAGGCCCAGUGGCAGACCCAGAUAAAGGCCCAGAAAUGGGCUCAGGAACAGACCCAGAAAGGGGCUCAGGAACGGGUUCAGGGUCAGGCCCAGAAAGGGGCUCAGGAACGGGCCCAGGAACAGGCUCAGGAGCAGACCCAGAUAGAGGCUCAGGGUCAGGCCCAGAAGGGGGCUCAGGAACGGGCUCGGGAACAGGCCCAGAAAGGGGCUCAGGAACGGGCUCGGGAACAGGCCCAGAAAGGGGCUCAGGAACGGGCUCGGGAACAGGCCCAGAAAGGGGCUCAGGAGCGGGCUCGGGAACAGGCCCAGAAAGGGGCUCAGGAACGGGCUCGGGAACAGGCCCAGAAAGGGGCUCAGGAACGGGCUCGGGAACAGGCCCAGAAAGGGGCUCAGGAACGGGCUCAGGAACAGGGUCGGGAGCAGACCCACAUAGAGGCUCAGGGUCAGGCCCAGAAAGGGGCUCAGGAAUGGGCUCGGGAUCGGGCUCGGGAUCAGGGCUGGGAGCAGACCCAGAUAGAGACUCAGAGGCAGACCCAGAAAGGGGCUCAGGAACGGGCUUGGGAACAGGGUCGGGAACAGGCCUUGACAAGUGGGAUGGCGCCUCGGGCCUGGGAGCAGCCCAUUAGUGGCAUAGCUGAGGGAGUGGAUGCUGCUGGCAGGAGUGGGGGGUCCAGAAGCCCAGCCCCCAGGGAUGGUGGACAGUCAGGGGGCAGUGGCCUGGGGGAGCCCAGCGCCGGGUACCCACCCCCAGGAAGCCGCCCCCUCAGGGGCAAGAGCAUUGCCACCUCUCCCCUGGGGCUGGGAAAGAGCCCAACUGAGCCCAAGCCUGAGGCUGGGGGCUGCGGGACUCCCCAGGCCCCGGCCCAGGAGGGGUCCCCAGACCACCCUGGGGCUGAGAGGGCCCUGCAGGACAGGAUGGAGGCAUCGGAGCCCGAGCGUCGCGGGAGGUCCAGGCACCUGGCCAAGUACAAAGCCCAGAGCUUCCGUGACCAGAGGGCCUUCGAUUUGUCCUUCAGACCAAUGAGCGUCAGGGCCAGCGACACGUCUGAGCUCCCAAAGUGAGGCCCCGAGUACACACCGUGGCUCGCCCAGCACUGUGACAUCCGCCCAUUGAGGGACUUCAGGCAUUUUCCUGCCUCCAAAUGCGUCUUGGAGCAUCCCCUACAGAGACGCCUGUUUCCAUAAUUUUCUUUCCCUUCUUCACAAGCUGACCUUGGGAGGAUUGAGCUACAUGUGGGUCGGGUUCCUGUCACCCCACAGAGCCACGAGGCCAUGGGGGUGGGAGGUGCGGGCCUGUGGCCUCACCAGGCCCUCGGGAUUCUUUGUGUCUUCACUCGGGGGCGCCGGCUCACCCCUCUCUCACACAGCCUGCAGCGUGGAGCUCACACCUCCCGCAGUGGCACGGUGUGUGCGUCCCCUUCGAUCUGCAGGAUGCUGGCACUUUGGGACACCUCCCCAGCUCUCACAGGGCCACCUCCCACUGCUCCCUGCCCACACCCCACCAUGCCCUGCUCUGACGUGGCCGCAUGGCACCCACCAUCCAUGGGCCCAAAGUGAUGCACACCGCCCCACCCCCAUGACUCGAAAGAAAGGGCAGAGCUUCCUCCAGCCUCAGACGCCCAGGUGGGUGCCGGGUGCUGUGUGGCUGCUGGGCCAUGUGGUGGUCACCAGAGGGUGUGGGGACGCUGGGAUCCCAGGCCGAAACCAGCUCAUCCGGAGGAAGAGGCCUCAGGAAAUGCCCACGUUAAGUUCUGAGAAAGGGACAGUGCAGAGCCGUGGGAAGCCAGGAUCCCAGGGAGGCUUCGUCUGGAAACUGGGUGCUGGGAGAACGAACGGGAGCCUGCCCGCCCUUCCCUGCAGUCCCUGUGGGUGGUGCCACUGGUGCCGGUGACCUGAGAGCCUCGCUGUCUGUCCUCCGUCCUCCCGAACAGCAUAGAAGUGUUUCCUGCCCUGGCCCGAGACGGCCCACGACUCCGGCCCUGUUCAGGUACUGAGGUAAUGCAUGUUCAGGCUGGAAUAUUUGAAUGCUGUCUAGAGGCACAAGAAGGAAAUCAAAGCCACCUGUGGUCACAUUGCCUCGAGAUGGUUUUUGUUGCUACUCUGGACUAUUUUUUAGGCUCUUCCUCCAUGCACCUAUUUUAAAGCACAUUCUUCCCCAUGAUGGAGCCAUGCACCUCCGUGUCGCGAUCCAUCGUCCCAGGCCACUCGGUGGCCUCUGAAACCCGGACCCGUGAGGCCACACGGCUGCCUGAGUGGCCCCGGAGCAGCUGGAUUUUCAGCGUGAACCGAUGCAGCCUGUCGCCCUACAGCCCCGCACCCUUGUUUUUGGUGGUGCCCUCCCUGUGGAAAGUUAAUUCCUGCUUUUUGAAGGUGUCUUGGCAUCUUCUGCCUUUGCUACUGAGCGGUUUCCUGAAACAGCCCUAAGCGUUCGCAAAGGCGCUUUGGUGCCUGCUGCGAGCACCUGUUUUCUGACUCGGAUGUUCCUUUAGAGGAAGGUGUUUUCCAGUGUCGGCCCUGAGAGGGCGUUCAGCAGGCGCGUCCUACCCACGCGGGGCUGAGGUCUCUCCUUCCAGGGAAGGUCCAUCCCGGCAGACGCCAGUGGCUUUGGCUCUGCAGCGCCAAGGAGGCGGCGUGGCGUCAUGCUCCGGGGAGCGCACAGGUUUCCUUCCAGUCGAACAAUUAACUUCAGAUCCAGCAGGUUUGACCCACCCUCACCUGCUGGGACAUGCGAGUGCUGGUGUCUGGAAGGAGGGCCGGGCUGUGCUGAGCUCUGGGGGGCCGGUCCCCACAGCUCCCCCGACAGGGCCCCCGGGGCCUCCUCUAUAAAUCAGGGGUCCGUGCUCCCAGCCCGCUUCGAGGGGUUUCUGCUUGGCGUGUGGGUUCUAAGUGCGAGCUGCUGUGUGUGGAGGCUCCUGAGCACCGGGUGCCCCUCGCGCGUGUGGGUCCCGGGGCAGCCCAGCUGCACACAGGAUGGUCCGGGGGUGCGGGUGGGGGCAGAGCUGAGCAUGGCGUGUACUUGGCCACAGAAGUCUUGCUGUGGUGCCGCUGGACCCCUGCUAGGAGGACAGGGUCCCCUCUCUCACGAAGCACACGGACCUCCAGAGUCCCUGCCCCUGCAGUCCUGGGAGCCUGCAGUUGGGGCUGGAGUUGGCCUCUCGGAGCCACCCAAACGGAGAGGCCCAUGAGAGGGGAGCUCAGGGGUCCAGCAGAGGCUGACAGAGUGGCCUCUUUGUCCUGUUGGCGGCCCCUGCUCAUGCCUGGGGCGUCCUCCCUGGAGCUGGGGGAGCUCAGGGACCCCCAGGUCUGUGUGGCUGCCCCUGCCACUCCAGGCACAGCGGCACGGCCCUCACUCUUUACCUAUUUGGAAUUGGAGGCAAUGAGUGGCAAGAACAUGAUGACAGACACGGGAGGUAAAAAUAUGUUCACUGGCUGUUCCCUUUAUAAAUAAGAAGUGGUGGGACUUGCGCUGCUAUUUUUAAAUAGACCAGAGAGUACACUGGAGAAGGCAUUGAGUGGUUUUAUUUUAAGUGGUGGAAAAAAUGAUGAGAAUCUCCUCCAGAUGACAGCUCCGGAAGUGUCGUGCCUGAACCCCUCUCACAGUCUGGCGGGCGCAGAGUCUGUGAGCGGCCAGGAGGCCACCUGCUCGACUGGCCCGUCCUCUCCAUGUGCCAGAUGCAGCCCAGCAUGACACUGCCCUCAGCUCAAAAACAGCACAGCUACUCUGUGUGCAGGAAAAAACUGCCAGUGACUUCACCAGGAUUUGAGAACGGUCCGUACGUUCACACUAAGCUGAGACAGCGCAGGUUAGAAGAUAGCGCGGGGAAGUAUUCACACUUCAGAUACGACCAUCACGGCCACAUGGCUAAGGCCCACACCCUCCCGGGGUGAAAUAACUACAGCAGAAGAAUGGGGCGCUAACCACCUCCACGGGCAUUUUAAAUAAAACCCAAAGUUGUUUUGUUUUUUUAAAAAAAAAAAAAAAGAAAGAAAGAAAGUGGCCGGGCACGGUGGCUCAUGCCUGUAAUCCCAGCACUUUGGGAGGCCGAGGCAGACAGAUCACGAGGUCAGGAGAUCAAGACCAUCCUGGCUAACACAGUGAAACCCUGUCUCUACUAAAAAUACAAAAAUUAGCCGGGCGUGGUGGUGGGUGCCUGUAGUCCCAGCUACUCGGGAGCCUGAGACAGGAGAAUGGCGUGAACCCGGGAGGUGGAGCUUGCAGUGAGCCGAGAUUGCGCCACUGCACUCCAGCCUGGGUGACAGAGCGAGACUCCGUCAAAAAAAAAAAAAAAAAGAAGAAAAGAAAAGAAAAGAAAACAGGAUAUUUAUUUUAGCUUCUUAGUUAACAUCAUUAAUUUUGUGUAGUUGAGCGACUCGUUGACUGCCUCCUCCCUGCAGUUUUUUACGGUGCCUCCGGCUGUCGACAGGCCCACUGUGAGCCGCAGGUCUGUGGGUGCAAGUGACAACAGCCGGGCGGGAGGCGGUGCACUCAGGCGGCAGGAAGGUCCCGAGACGGCGACGAGAAUGUGGUCAUGUUCAGGACACUCGCUCAGGGAGGGUCGUUGUCUGGGAUUUUACACGCUCAGCACCACCUCCUUAUUCUGUUCUCAGGGUAUCUCUGCUGUUGGAGUUACGGUCUUUCGGUUGUGUAUUAGGCUACAGCUAUUUAUUAAAUUUGUUCUUGUUCAUAUUCUUCUUUGUAUAUAAACAACCCUAAAAUGGGUUAGUCAGAAAAAAUUACUAAAUGUCAUUUGUUGUAUUCUCUCUGUAUUUUUACUAACAUCAUUCAGCUGGAAAUAAUUUCAAAAAGAAAUAAAAUACCUUUCCCAUUAC
rnacentral:lncRNA from 1 species